CAAUAGCGUAUAUUAAAGUUGUUGCAGUUAAAAAGCUCGUAGUUGGAUUUCGGGGCAGCCUGGCUGGUCCGCCGCAAGGCGAGUACUGGUCAGCCGCCCUUCCUCUCGAAAGCCCCGACUGCUCUUUAUUGCAGUGGUCGGGUAGUUCGGGACGUUUACUUUGAAAAAAUUAGAGUGUUCAAGGCAGGCCUACGCCUGAAUACAUUAGCAUGGAAUAAUGGAAGAGGACCUCGGUCCUAUUUUGUUGGUUUCCAGGACCGAAGUAAUGAUUAAGAGGGACAGUUGGGGGCAUUCGUAUUUAAUUGUCAGAGGUGAAAUUCUCGGAUUUAUGAAAGACGAACAACUGCGAAAGCAUUUGCCAAGGGUGUUUUCAUUAA
rnacentral:rRNA from 1 species